UACGUAGGGCGCGAGCGUUGUCCGGAUUUAUUGGGCGUAAAGAGCUCGUAGGCGGCUUGUUACGUCGGCUGUGAAAUCCCGCGGCUCAACUGCGGGUCUGCAGCCGAUACGGGCAGGCUAGAGUUCGGUAGGGGAGACUGGAAUUCCUGGUGUAGCGGUGAAAUGCGCAGAUAUCAGGAGGAACACCGGUGGCGAAGGCGGGUCUCUGGGCCGAUACUGACGCUGAGGAGCGAAAGCGUGGGGAGCGAACAGG
rnacentral:rRNA from 1 species